rnacentral:rRNA from 1 species
GUGAGGAAUUUUGCGCAAUGGGGGCAACCCUGACGCAGCGACGCCGCGUGGAGGACGAAGUCUUUCGGGAUGUAAACUCCUGUCAGUGGGGACGAUAAUGACGGUACCCACAGAGGAAGCACCGGCUAACUCCGUGCCAGCAGCCGCGGUAAGACGGAGGGUGCAAGCGUUGUUCGGAAUUACUGGGCGUAAAGCGUAGGUAGGCGGCAAGUUAAGUUCAAUGUUAAAGCCCACGGCUCAACCGAGGAGAUGAAUUGAAUACUGGCUAGCUAGAGGGUGUUAGAGGAAGACGGAAUUCCCAGUGUAGCGGUGAAAUGCGUAGAUAUUGGGAGGAACAUCGGUAGAGAAAGCGGUCUUCUGGGACAUACCUGACGCUGAGGUACGAAAGCGUGGGGAGCAAACGGGAUUAGAAACCCCGGUAGUCC